GAAGGUGAAUUCUGCUAACAGCAAGAACAGACUUGGAAGAGAAGCUCAGCCUCCAGGGGAGAACACACCCAUGGCUGAUUCUCUGAUUGCAUCUUUUGGAGACUUCGAGCAGAAGGCCUGGAUCACACAUGCCUGCAGCCCUGACCCGUAGCCACUGUGAAGUAAGGCAUCUGCGUUGUUUUACGUUGCUAAGUUGGAGGAAAUUGUUACCCAGCACGUGCUCACUGGUAGGCAGCUAAGGACUGGCAGAGCCGAGUGGAGAAAAAUGAAGGGUUGACCAAAAGCCCCUUUCAUGGGUCCACCUUGGAGGGUGAAGCAGCUGGGAAGUGGAUCCUCAGGCUGUGCUUUUAACGUACUCAUUUCUUGGCAAUUAGAAGGUAGAAAUUAAUGAGUAAAACAGCCGCUGAGCUGUUGAAAAGGCCCUGCUUCCAUGCAGGAAAGCAUGAGACAAGGAAAUAUAGCCAUGUCUGAUUGUGGCUUUUACUCUGACUCACUCAGAAUGUCACUGCCAUCUCCGAGCCCAGUCAGAGUGACACCUGCCAGGUCCUUCAAGAGUGACCCACCAGGAGCCACGGCUUGUGGUUCACAGACACUCCUUCAACUCAGAACACAUCGUCUCAGCGGGAAGUUAGAGCCCAGAAGAGAAUCUGAAGGACUCUCCACUCAGCCUGAGGGGAAAUGGGAAGCGGUUUUCCCUCCACCUGGAGAAGGAAACCCCGCGGUUCUGUGGGGGCAGCAGGUGUCUCCACUGGGAGACUCUCCACGCCGCUGGGACCUGCCUCACAAGUGAGCAGAUGUGCUCGAUGGGGAGAGAGGAUGGGUGUUCUCACUUGCCUCCCGUCCCUAGAGCAGAAUCUCCUCCCCGCACGAUGGCUUCUGCCCUCUUCUCCCCCCAUGAGAACUGCCCAUCCCCCAAGGCUGAUCCCUAGGGCAGAUUCUUCUUUAAAUUUUGGGGAGUAGAGUUGACGUACUGAGUUGUGUGAGUUUCAGGUGUACAGCAAAGCGACUCGGUGACACAUAGACAUCUAUCCCUUCUUUUUCAGAUUCUUCUCCCGCGUAGGUGGUGACACAGUCUCAGCAGAUUUCCCUUCGCCGGACGGUAGGUCCUUGUUACCCCUGUGUUUCGUAUGUAGUAGCAUGUAUAUGUCAGUCCCUCCCACUGCAGCCACUGUGCAGAGCAGCAGGUUCUUGUCAGGACAGUGACUUCUUCUGUCACGUCAAAACGCCAAUCAAGGGAGUUCCUGUCGGGCUCAGUGGUUAAUGAAGCCAACUGGCAUCCAUGAGGAUGCGGGUUCGAUCCCUGGCCUCACUCAGUGGGUUAAGGAUCUGGUGUUGCCAUGAGCUGUGGUGUAGGUCACAGACAUGGCUUGGAUCCUGUGUUGCUGUGGCUGUGGUGUAAACCAGCAGCUGCAGCUCCAAUUUUACCCCUAUCCUGGGAACCUCCAUAUGCUGUGGGUGCAGCUCUAAAAAAGACAGAAGGAAAAAAAAAAAAACCUCUCCAAUUANGCGGCCCUAAAAAAGACAAAAGGAAAAAACAAAACUCUCCAAUUAAGGAGUUCCCAUUGUGGCUCAGGAGUAAUGAGCCAGAGUAGUAUCCAUGAGGAUGCGGGUUCAGUCCUUGGCCUCACUCAGUGGUUUAAAGGGUUGCUGUGAGCUGAAGUGUAGGUCACCGAUGCAGCUCGGAUCCUGCAUUGCUGUGGCUGUGGCCAGUGGCUACAGCUCGGAUUUGACCCCUAGCCUGGGGGGUGGGGGCUGUACUGAGGGUGUGGCCCUAAAAAGACAAAACCAAACAAAACCCCGAUAGAGGGGUUCUAAGAGGGAGAAAGCAGUGGCCUGCCUGCAAGACAGAUCAGGUGGCACUUCUAUACCACCAACACAGAAGGAGAUUAGCUGGGCAAGUUGCUUAUGAUGAAACCACACAACACAAACGAGAGUAAUUGAAAACGACGGAAAAGAUUUUCGUUAGAAAAAUACGAUUUGAAAGACGUACAAGAUUCAGAGGACGUUGGGGUGUUUGAUGCGAAGAAAUAAACAAACGAGAGAAAGGGUCUGUAGGAAAUAG
ensembl:lncRNA